AUUGGUAUGCGUUUAUUAGAUUUUUUUGACAAUGAGUAAUGUUAUAAUUUUAUUUUUAUGUUUUAUUUUUGUUUAAUGUGUAAAGUUUGAUUCUUGCUUUAGUUUUUAUAUUACUAUAUGUUAAAUGUGAGUUUUGUUCUUAAUGUUCGUGUUGCAUUAAUUUGAAUUAAUAAUCAGGUAAUUCUGGAAUUAGUAAUUGUAUUAGUAUUGACUUAUUUCGUGCCAGCAGUCGCGGUUAUACGAUUAAUGCAAUUAAAAAUUAUUGGUUUGUAGUUAAUUGGGUUAUGAAUUAAUAAUUAUUAUUUUUAAGUGAAAUUUAAAUAAUAAUAUAUUUCUUUUUAUGAAGCUAUGAAAUUUAUUUUUUAAACUAGGAUUAGAUACCCUAUUAUUUUAAAUGUAGUUAAUUAGACCUGAGUAGUAUUAGUUAUGUUCUUAAAACUCAAAGAAUUUGGCGGUAUUUUAUCUGUUUAGAGGAACCUGCCCUGUAAUUGAUAGUUCACGAUUAACUUUACUUAAAUUAUUUAUUUGUAUAUCUCCGUUAUCAGGCAGUCUUUUGAAGGUUAAAAUUGUCUUAAAAUUUAAUUAAGUUAUAUUUCAGGUCAAGAUACAGUUUAUAUUUAAGUAGAGGUGGGUUACAAUAAUUUUAUUUAAACGGAUUUUAUGAUGAAAUUUGUGGAUAAAGGUGGAUUUAAUAGUAAUAUAAAUUAUUUUUUUUAUAUGAUUAUGCUAUAAAAUGCGUACACAUCGCCCGUCGCUCUCAUUAUUUAAUUAUAUUAAUUAAUUUAAAUGAGAUAAGUCGUAACAUAGUAGAUGUACUGGAAAGUGUAUCUAG
rnacentral:ncRNA from 1 species